CCUACGGGAGGCAGCAGUGAGGAAUAUUGGUCAAUGGGCGGGAGCCUGAACCAGCCAAGUCGCGUGAGGGAAGACGGUCCUACGGAUUGUAAACCUCUUUUGCCAGGGAGCAACGGGGUCCUUGCGAGGUCCCAAUGAGAGUACCCGGAGAAAAAGCAUCGGCUAACUCCGUGCCAGCAGCCGCGGUAAUACGGAGGAUGCGAGCGUUAUCCGGAUUUAUUGGGUUUAAAGGGUGCGUAGGCGGGACGGUAAGUCAGCGGUAAAAAUGCGGAGCUCAACUCCGUCGAGCCGUUGAAACUGUCGUC
rnacentral:rRNA from 1 species